rnacentral:rRNA from 1 species
UACGAACGCUGGCGGCAGGCCUAACACAUGCAAGUCGAACGAGGUAGCAAUACCUAGUGGCGCACGGGUGAGAAACGCGUGGGAAUCUCCCUUCUAGUACGGGAUAACACUGGGAAACUGGUGCUAAUACCGUAUGACCCCUCCGGGGGAAAGAUUUAUCGCUAGAAGAUGAGCCCGCGUAAGAUUAGCUAGUUGGUGAGGUAACGGCUCACCAAGGCUACGAUCUUUAGCUGGUCUUAGAGGACGAUCAGCCACACUGGAACUGAGACACGGUCCAGACUCCUACGGGAGGCUGCAGUGGGGAAUCUUGGACAAUGGGGGAAACCCUGAUCCAGCCAUGCCGCGUGAGUGAUGAAGGCCUUCGGGUUGUAAAGCUCUUUUGUGUGGGAAGAUAAUGACUGUACCACAAGAAUAAGCCCCGGCUAACUUCGUGCCAGCAGCCGCAGUAA